rnacentral:rRNA from 1 species
UACGAAGGGGGCUAGCGUUGUUCGGAAUUACUGGGCGUAAAGCGAGCGUAGGUUGCUCGACAAGUCAGUGGUGAAAGCCCAGAGCUCAACUCUGGAAUUGCCAUUGAAACUGUCGAGCUGGAAUCUCAGAGGGGAUAGCGGAAUUCCAAAUGUAGAGGUGAAAUUCGUAGAUAUUUGGAGGAACACCGGUGGCGAAGGCGGCUAUCUGGAUGAGUAUUGACACUGAGGCUCGAAAGUGUGGGGAUCAAACAGG